rfam:Necator americanus N_americanus-1.0_Cont1.315, whole genome shotgun sequence.
CCAACGGCCCUCUUUAGGGCCACAUUUUCUUGCCGAAUUUUUAUUU